AAGCUAAAUUAUUAAAGGGCAACAACCGGCAUUGAUCUCCCAAUUACACUGAACAGAAAUAAAUAAAAAUAGGAAAACUUUCAGUUAAAAUUGCAUUGUUGAGUGUUGUAGAACAGGCAUUGGCAAACUUCAGCCCUCCAGAUAUUUUGGACUUCAACUCCCACAAUUCCUAACAGUCUCUGGCCUAUUCUUUUCCCUUCCAAAAAGGGAAAAGGAAAGGGUCUGAUGCUGUUAGGAAUUGUGGGAGUUGAAGUCCAAAACAACUGGAGGGCCAAGGUUUGCCCAUGCAUGGUGUCAAAUAAUCUUGGCUAAGAACGAGGGAACAUUGAUAACUGACUAUAAAUGCAUGUGGAUGGAAGGAUCUUUGCAGAAGGAACUUUUAUAGUUGAACAUGGAAAAUGAGUUCUUCCAGAACAUUAACAUGCCCUCACGUGGAAUUGAUCUAGCAAACUAUCAUCCUGUCUCUCUUUCUGCUUCUGUGGGAAGGUAACAGAAUGCCAUGUAGUCAUGCUGGCCACAUAAUUUUGGAGGUGUCUACAGACAACACUGGCUCUUCAGCUUAGAAAUUGAGAUGAGCACCACCCCCCAGAGUUGGACACAACUAGACUUAAUGUCAGGGGGAAACAUUUACCUUUAUGUUUUUUGGAAAGGCAUGACCUUGUUAGAAGUCACAACCUUUUGAAAAAAUAUGCCACAACCGCUUGGUAAAAAGCAUGACCUCUUAAUGUCAUAACCUUUUGGGAAAAUGAUAUCUUAGUUGCCCAAAAACAUCUAUUCUCCCUUUUAUAUAUUUGCCUUUAAAUCAUACUGUCAAGAGACAAAAAAUAAGAUAGACUUCUUUAAAAGUAAUGUAAUUGGUUUACUCACAAACUUCAUGUAUUCAGCAUACAGGUACUUUGCUUAUCAAUGUGGCAAAAGUAUGAUAGCUGGGACACUGAACCCUACGCUAGUUGCGCAACGUGCAUCAGAAUUAAUGAAGGGAAGUCCGCUUAGACUGUUCCCAGCUGCUGGGGCUGCUUUCUUUGAAGGGCAGAAAGUGUGCUAGUGGCCGGGAAAGGUUUUUACAAGGCCCUAGUGCAAACAGAGCGGUGGAUUCCCCCCCUUCCCCUCCUCUUCUACUUUUCCCCGCCUGCUUUCUAACAGUGGAGGAGCCGGGGCUCCGGGAGAGCAGGAUGUGUGUGCUGUAGACCCCCUCCUCCUCCCUCUCUCAUAGCUGCGUCUCUCACUCACUGCACUGUCUCGCGCACAUCUUCCCUUCAUGAAUUCUGACCCGUGGUGCGUAACCAGCAUAGGGUCCCAGCUAUCAUACUUUUGACAUCAAUCCAGUUACAAAUAGGAUUUGAAGUAGUUUCUCUGGGUAGGUAACACAGAGUAUCAUUUCCUAGAAUCAAUAGUGCAUAGUCCAAAGCAUCUCUCUGUGCCAAGAGUCUAAUAGUCUCCGUCUAGUCUGAAAGUCCAAUGGUGUCUCUAAGGAUACUCUUCCUACUAAAGUCUGAAACAAACAGUUCCUAUCGAACUCUAAACUGAACACAUAGUUCCUACUGAAGUCUUAAGCAUAACAGUUCUAAAAUGGAGUCUGAGUCCUGAACAAGCCCAGUUCUGAUCACAUGGUCUGCACCCUCUCCUACAACAAAGAGGUUAAGGAAAACUGCAAAUCAACACACACAUAUACAAUACAGUAAACAAUCUGAAUUAUAUACAGAACAAACAACUACUGGAGGCUUGAGAGGGUUGCUAUUUCCAACAUUGCAAGUGUCUCCCUUCAGUUUAGACCAGGGGUCCUCAAACUUUAUAAACAGAGGGCCAGGUCACAGUCCCUCAAACUGUUGGAGAGCCGGAUUAUAAUUUGAAAAAAAACAUGAAUUCCUAUGCACACUGCACAUAUCUUAUUUGUAGUGCAAAAAAACACUUGAAAACAAUACAAUCAUUAAAAUGAAGAACAAAUAUUAACAAAUAUAUACUUAUUAGUAUUUCAAUGAGAAGUGUCGCCCUGCUUUUGACUGAUGAGAUAGGAUUGUUGUUGUUGUUGUUGUUGUUGUGUGCUUUCAAAUCAUGUCAGACUUAAGUUGACCCUGAGUGAGGGCCAGGUAAAUGACCUUGGAGGGCCGUAUCCGGCCCCUGGGCCUUAGUUUAAGGACCCUUGGUUUAGACUAUGCUUGAGAGAAUGAUUCAGAUGUGUCCCCAUUGGAUGGCCUUGUUGAGAACUGAGAAGGUUUAUCUUGCUCACCCCAUUCCUUCUCCUGGAAACAUGACGCUCUGUCCUGAUUCUGAACAUUGGGAAUAUAAAAAUGUAUAAGAAUAUAUUUUCCAGAUUUGUAUGGAUUGAGUGUAUUUGCUAGGCCAACUAUAAAGACAGCAUAUAUGUGCAACCUCUUUACAUCUCUUCCUCAGGCAAUGUUUACAAGUGGUAAUUUUUGGCUGGAGGGAGAGGGGAGAGAGGAAAGAAAAGAGAAAGUGUCUUGAUGUCAUGAGCUAUGGAUGAACAACCCAGUCUUGGGAUGCAGUGGGGAAGUAAGUGUCUGCAAUAGCUCAAAUAGGGCACUAGAAUGUGGUAUGUUGAUACCUUCAGGAUUUGCUGAAAGCUAUCCCAAGCCUGCUUCAAGCAAGAAAAGCAAAAAAGGGAUGCAUUUCCUCUCCUAAUUUUUCAGAAAAAGUAAAAAACCAAAUCCCCUUGUUCAGACAAAGGGGUUUGAUCAUAGAAUUCACAAUUCAUGAAUUUACAAUUCAUGGCAUCAAGAGUAGAAGCAAAUAUGUAUUGUCGAAGGCUUUCAUGGCUGGAAUCACUAGAACCUAGAAGCAAAUAAGCGCUGUGUUGGAAACAGAAUAGAGUCUGGGUUAUUGUAGGUUUUCCGGGCUAUAUGACCAUGUUCUAGAGGCAUUUUCUCCUGACGUUUCGCCUGCAUCUAUGGCAAGCAUCCUCAGAUAAUAGAGUCUCUUACUAUGGUGGAUGGUUAGGUAGAACAGUACAGUACGACUCCUGCGAGAAUACAUUCCUGGACUUUUCAAUGAUAUGCGAAGAAGUGGAUAAUGUCGAACCCUAUUAAAAUGGACUUUUGGACCAAGAAUAUCCUAGAGUUACACUGGAGGACCUUGAAAAGGCCCAGCAGAUUUUGUCAGAGGUGGACACAUGAAGGUGGAUGACGGUCCCAUAGAUACAGGGACCAUGCUGCAUAGCAGACUCAGUCCAGCUUUGAACUAUGGCUGAGGACUUCCUAGAGAGAAGACAUGGACACUGGCAUCUUGUGAACAUGGUGAACAAAUGAUUUAAUAUCAUAAGUUAAGAUCUCCCACCCAGAAUGAACCUUUCCCAUUCUCACCUACUGUCAUUGAAACUACUUUCUAUACUGCGUUUUGUGUGUAUGUGUUUUUUAAAAUAAAUCUGUAAAUAAAGAGAAAUAAAACUUUCUAACAAGGGA